rfam:Dipodomys ordii contig_11889, whole genome shotgun sequence.
GGUGGCUCAGUGGUAGAGCGCUUGCCUAGCAUGCAUGAGGCCCUGGGUUCAAUUCCUCAGCACCA